rnacentral:ncRNA from 1 species
GCGAUGAAGCGGGAGGUUGCGGCCUUUUCCGGCCGGUUUUUCCGCUGAGUAUGUCCGAUUUUAAACCGGGCGACAA